UACGUAGGGGGCGAGCGUUGUCCGGAUUUAUUGGGCGUAAAGAGCUCGUAGGCGGUUUGGUAAGUUGGUUGUGAAAUCUCCAGGCUCAACUUGGAGGGGUCAUUCGAUACUGCCAUGACUAGAGUUCGGUAGGGGAGUGUGGAAUUCCUGGUGGAGCGGUGAAAUGCGCAGAUAUCAGGAGGAACACCCGUAGCGAAGGCGGCACUCUGGGCCGGAACUGACGCUGAGGAGCGAAAGCGUGGGGAGCGAACAGG
rnacentral:rRNA from 1 species